GGGAAGGUGGCUCAGUGGUAGAGUGCUUGCCUUGCAUGCAUGAGGCCCUGGGUUCAAUGUCUCAGCACCCCA
rfam:Dipodomys ordii contig_28818, whole genome shotgun sequence.